rnacentral:rRNA from 1 species
GACGUAGGGCGCGAGCGUUGUCCGGAUGUAUUGGGCGUAAAGAGCUCGUAGGCGGCUUGUCGCGUCGACCGUGAAAACUUGGGGCUCAACCCCAAGCCUGCGGUCGAUACGGGCAGGCUAGAGUUCGGUAGGGGAGACUGGAAUUCCUGGUGUAGCGGUGAAAUGCGCAGAUAUCAGGAGGAACACCGGUGGCGGAGGCGGGUCUCUGGGCCGAUACUGACGCUGAGGAGCGAAAGCGUGGGGAGCGAACAGG